ACCGAUAUGGUCCAGGGGUUAGGAUUUCUGAUUUUCAUGAUGUGAAAUCUUCAGACGACCCGGGGUAUGUUAUAUUCACUCUUGUCAGCCAUAGAUAGCGCCUGAAUAACUCACUAACUUGACUCUUAGUUCGAACCCCGGUAUCGGUA